CUUAACACAUGCAAGUCGAACGAUGAAGACCGUGCUUGCACGGUUGGAUUAGUGGCGAACGGGUGAGUAUCACGUGAGUAACCUUCCCUUAACUCUGGGAUAAGCCCGGGAAACUGGGUCUAAUACCGGAUACGACCAGUCCUCGCAUGGGGUGCUGGUGGAAAGAUUUAUCGGUUUUGGAUGGACUCGCGGCCUAUCAGCUUGUUGGUGAGGUAAAGGCUCACCAAGGCGAUGACGGGUAGCCGGCCUGAGAGGGUGACCGGCCACACUGGGACUGAGACACGGCCCAGACUCCUACGGGAGGCAGCAGUGGGGAAUAUUGCACAAUGGGCGAAAGCCUGAUGCAGCGACGCCGCGUGCGGGAUGACGGCCUUCGGGUUGUAAACCGCUUUCAGCAGGGAAGAAGCGCAAGUGACGGUACCAGCAGAAGAAGCGCCGGCCAACUACGUGCCAGCAGCCGCGGUAAUACGUAGGGCGCGAGCGUUAUCCGGAAUUAUUGGGCGUAAAGAGCUCGUAGGCGGUUUGUCACGUCUGCUGUGAAAGCCCGGGGCUCAACCCCGGGUGUGCAGUGGGUACGGGCAGACUAGAGUGCAGUAGGGGAGACUGGAAUUCCUGGUGUAGCGGUGAAAUGCGCAGAUAUCAGGAGGAACACCGAUGGCGAAGGCAGGUCUCUGGGCUGUUACUGACGCCGAGGAGCGAAAGCAUGGGGAGCGAACAGGAUUAGAUACCCUGGUAGUCCAUGCCGUAAACGUUGGGCACUAGGUGUGGGGAACAUUCCACGUUUUCCGCGCCGUAGCUAACGCAUUAAGUGCCCCGCCUGGGGAGUACGGCCGCAAGGCUAAAACUCAAAGGAAUUGACGGGGGCCCGCACAAGCGGCGGAGCAUGCGGAUUAAUUCGAUGCAACGCGAAGAACCUUACCAAGGCUUGACAUGGACCGGACCGCUGCAGAGAUGCAGUUUCCCUUCGGGGUCGGUUCACAGGUGGUGCAUGGUUGUCGUCAGCUCGUGUCGUGAGAUGUUGGGUUAAGUCCCGCAACGAGCGCAACCCCUAUCCUAUGUUGCCAGCACGUUAUGGUGGGGACUCAUGGGAGACUGCCGGGGUCAACUCGGAGGAAGGUGGGGACGACGUCAGAUCAUCAUGCCCCUUAUGUCUUGGGCUUCACGCAUGCUACAAUGGCCGGUACAAUGGGUUGCGAUACUGUGGGGUGGAGCUAAUCCCUAAAAGCCGGUCUCAGUUCGGAUCGAAGUCUGCAACUCGACUUCGUGAAGUUGGAGUCGCUAGUAAUCGCAGAUCAGCAACGCUGCGGUGAAUACGUUCCCGGGCCUUGUACACACCGCCCGUCAAGUCACGAAAGUGGGUAACACCCGAAGCCGGUGGCCUAACCCUUGUGGGGGGAGCCGUCGAAGGUGGGA
rnacentral:rRNA from 1 species